rnacentral:misc_RNA from 1 species
UUAAGUUCAGCGGGUAGUCCUACCUGAUCCGAGGUCAACCUUGUAAAAAGAGUUGCACGUCAUGCGCGUUUUGACGGCAGGGCGCCGGCGGGGCGUCUGAGCGAGGGGAGAACUUGCGUUCGGUACUGCGCUCGGAGCCAACCAGCCGGGCCCGCCACUCGCUUUCGGGGCCUCCGCCAGGCGGAGGAGCCCCAACACCA